GGCAUUGCCAUCAGCUGCCACCUCCCAGAAGUGGCUCCCUUGAAAAAUGUACAGUCGCUGUUGCCCGUCUGCCCAGAGAGAUGAGAGAGAGUAGAGCAGUGACCAUCAGCCUCCUGCCUUCCUUCCAGGGAGGGCACAUUCCUAGAACCCAGCUUCCGAAACUGACUGGAGAGGCAGCAGCGAGCCCGGCUGGGGCAGAAGGGAAGGUGUGCAGGAGAAAGCAGGGUUUUGCCUGGUGUGGGCUUGCUCCCGUGCUUUUGGCUUGGGAUUUCUGGAUUUUAUCAUUUAUACCCUCCCCCACCUUGAACUCCUGCCCUGGAGACCCCUGGAGAUGUGUGGGGACAAGGGAAGAGCCCGAGCACUGAAUUCAGAAGCCUUCUCGCCUGUCAGCCUGGGAAAGAGGCGCCAGAUUUCAGGGGAGCCCGAGAAUUGGGAAGGACCCGGGACGGAGGAGGCCAGAUUCCUGAGCUCCCGACAGGGGAUCCAAUUGGAGGAGCCGGUACCCGAGC